UAUUACAUGGCACAGCGAGGCGGCGAGGCAAUGAAGCCGUGUGCACAGGGACCACAGCAGCCUCGCGAUGUCACAGCGAUGAGGCAACCAAAGACGAUCAGCUCUCAUGAAUCAGACUGCUCCAAGAGGAGGCAGCACAGUUUGGUCUCCAGACGGAGAAAAAUCCAAUGACAAAAGAUUGGGGACGGGGGGGGAGACGGACGAGUGUCACCCCUUGUUCCAGCACCUUGGCUUCUGCCUGCGAGUUGUCAGUCAUUUGCGCCGAAGGAGGAAGAUGAGGUCUGAGACUGCAUGAUAUAUUUUAAUGAUACAUAGCUACUAAUGUCUUCUUCAUUAGAUGAGCCAAGU